AGGAAAUAGAUACCCCGGUAGUCCACGCCCUAAACGAUGUCGACUGGUUGUUGGGGGUUUGACACUCUCAGUAAACGAAAGCUAAACGCGUGAAAGUCGACCGCCUGGGGGAGUACGGGCCGCAAGGUUAAAACUCAAAGGAAUUGACGGGGACCCGCACAAGCGGUGGAUUAUGUGGAUUAAUUCGAUGCAACGCGAAAAACCUUACCUACCCUUGACAUGUCCGAGAGCCCGCUGAGAGGCGGGUGUGCCCGAAAGGGAAUCGGAACACAGGUGCUGCAUGGCUGUCGUCAGCUCGUGUCGUGAGAUGUUGGGUUAAGUCCCGCAACGAGCGCAACCCUUGCCAUUAGUUGCCACCCGUAAGGGGGCACUCUAAUGGGACUGCCGGUGACAAACCGGAGGAAGGUGGGGAUGACGUCAAGUCCUCAUGGCCCUUAUGGGUAGGGCUUCACACGUAAUACAAUGGCGCGUACAGAGGGUUGCCAAGGAGCGAUCUGGAGCCAAUCCCGUAAAGCGCGUCGUAUCCGGGAUUGCAGUCUGCAACUCGACUGCAUGAA
rnacentral:rRNA from 1 species